CGAACGGGUGAGUAAUGCGUGACCAACCUGCCCCAUGCUCCAGAAUAGCUCUUGGAAACGGGUGGUAAUGCUGGAUGCUCCAACUUGACGCAUGUCUUGUUGGGAAAGUGUUUAGUGGCAUGGGAUGGGGUCGCGUCCUAUCAGCUUGUAGGCGGGGUAAUGGCCCACCUAGGCUUCGACGGGUAGCCGGCCUGAGAGGGCGGACGGCCACAUUGGGACUGAGAUACGGCCCAGACUCCGUACGGGAGGCAGCAGCC
rnacentral:rRNA from 1 species